AGAGUUUGAUCAUGGCUCAGGAUGAACGCUAGCUACAGGCUUAACACAUGCAAGUCGAGGGGCAGCAUGUUGGUUGCUUGCAACCAAUGAUGGCGACCGGCGCACGGGUGAGUAACGCGUAUCCAACCUACCCUUGUCCAUCGGAUAACCCGUCGAAAGGCGGCCUAACACGAUAUGCGGUUCACAGCAGGCAUCUAAGGUGAACGAAAUGUGAAGGAGAAGGAUGGGGAUGCGUCUGAUUAGCUUGGUUGGCGGGGUAACGGCCACCAAGGCGACGAUCAGUAGGGGUUCUGGAGAGGAAGGUCCCCCACAUUGGAACUGAGACACGGUCCAAACUCCGUACGGGAGGCA
rnacentral:rRNA from 1 species